GUCCUACGGGAUGCAUCAUUAUUUACUCUUCCACCCUUUUCUCCAGCCUGAUGGAGCAACGCCGCGUGGGUGAAGAAGGUCUUCGGAUCGUAAAACCCUGUUGUUAGAGAAGAAAGUGCGUGAGAGUAACUGUUCACGUUUCGACGGUAUCUAACCAGAAAGCCACGGCUAACUACGUGCCAGCAGCCGCGGUAAUACGUAGGUGGCAAGCGUUAUCCGGAUUUAUUGGGCGUAAAGGGAACGCAGGCGGUCUUUUAAGUCUGAUGUGAAAGCCUUCGGCUUAACCGGAGUAGUGCAUUGGAAAC
rnacentral:rRNA from 1 species